rnacentral:rRNA from 1 species
AUACGGAGGGUGCAAGCGUUGUCCGGAUUUAUUGGGUUUAAAGGGUGUGUAGGCGGUGUAUUAAGUCAGUGGUGAAAGCCUGCGGCUCAACCGUAGAACUGCCAUUGAUACUGACACACUUGAGUAUGGACGAGGUAGGCGGAAUUCAUGGUGUAGCGGUGAAAUGCAUAGAUACCAUAAAGAACACCGAUAGCGAAGGCAGCUUACUAGGCCAUAACUGACGCUGAGGCACGAAAGCGUGGGGAGCGAACAGGAUUAGAAACCCGGGUAGUCC